UGAUGCCACUGAUGAUGACCUCUUGAGGUUGAAACGCAUAUGACAAUAGUGUCUUUUUUAUAGUGUUAAUAGUUAUUUAUAUAUUUAUUUUAUACCCUAAUAAACACUUGGACUUUGACUGAUUUCACAGAAACGUCAAGGAAAUUAUAUUUCUAUUAUAUAAUUUGCACUUCUUGCUUCAGGAGUAGUAUUGUCACGGAAAUGCUAGCAUAACCAGGCCUUUUUUAAAUAUGUACUAAUGAAACAGUCCACAGUAACACUUGAGCUCAUCAGAUUUCAUGGAACAUAUUUCGAAAUUCUGCAAACAUAUUUAAAAUACAAUGUGAAGCAUUUUCAAUUUAACGGGCAGAUUACAGUUAAGUAGCUACAUAAUCUGUACUAAGAACGUCAGUAAACUACCAAAUUGCAUUGUGCAACAACCCAGAAGACAGCCAUCUUCAGACUCUGCCAUUAGAACCUAAGAUUGUUGUAGUAAAUAAACAGCUGUGUUGCUUCAGUGCAGUUAACAGGAAAUAUCGCCAACUUUUCCAAGGGAAGCAGCAGGGGUAUUUAUAGUCAGAAAACAACACAAUGUACAUUAAUGAAAUUAGUAAUUAGUUCAAUGCAGUUUCUGUCACUGAUCUUUCAGUCGAAAUGUAUACGUUAGUCGUAAUGUUGAAGUCGUAAACAAGCAAUUCUAUUAUUUCAGUAGUUUCUUUUAAGUAAAAGCUUGGCAAGGAACGGCGCUUUCGCUGAAAACAGCAAAGGAUGUUGAUUUUCUUGACAUCCAAUACAAAUUGCUGUCAUAUCGUAUAAAUACGUACACACGUAGAGAGUAAAUGAAACGCAUCAUUUCGUGCUAUAAGGGUGCAUGUGUUCUUCCAAGCUGCUCUUAUUAUCGUCGUAAUAUUUUUGUUCCGUUAGUUGGCUACAGUGAAAGGGCGAUUACGUUUUACACGGUAGUGAUUGUGUUUAGAUGGAUUGUGCCUGUUUACAAAAAUAAAUACACUUGUUCAUUUCGUGCAGAUUAGUACGUUAAUACAAAAUGCUGUUUACAAGUUCGGCUUAAACGGUUACAGUUCGGAGGAAAUCUGUAAACAUAGCUUCAAUUUUGAUCAAGGAAGAACCGAAGGAUUUGUAGUACUGCUUCCGAGAAAGUGCGGCAUAUUGUACACGUGACGUAUGCAGCGUGCGAUGGACGUUACCUGAGCCAAGCUGUGUACAUCAUACAGAGUCCACUUGCAAACAAGGAGUUGCAGUAACCAGAAGUCUUUCAAGUUGAUGCCUUUAUCAGCGGGGCGAUAAGGCACGCAUUGCUCAUCAGAGCAAUGCGUGCCAACAAACAUCUCUGAAAAUCUGUAAACUUCUACCAGACCCCAGAAUACAACCAAAUGUAUACUAGCCUCCGUGAGAACCUGAUAUCUCUCCCAAUGGUAAGAAACUGCUUUGUCUAAUGUGUCGCACAAUGUAUUACGUAUAUCCUACACUAACACCUCGACACGAAGACAGGGAAAGUGUCUGAAAUAUCUCAACAUUUUUAUUCAAAGAAUGGGCAAAGACUAACAAUUUUUUCCCAAUAUUUUAAGAAAUAACGAAUGCCAAGGAUGAGGAAGGAAAAGGCCGUAACCUAUUUCAAGGCACUGCAUAGAGCUUACUUAUAGGGACUAAGAAGACAACCGAGAUUGAAACUACAGACUUCAUGAAUAGACACAUAAAUGGUUGUCGUUUCACCGCUGUGUUCGGUGUAUAAACAGAAGUGUCGACGAGUCCGUACAGAGAAUAUGCAAAUAUGGGCAGCAGUAUUUUAUUAAUGACACUUACCAACACUAAAUAAUUUGUACUGAUAUAUCAUAAUUUUUUAUCAGAAUAGACGGCAGCUGAUUUAAAAAGACUUGUGUAACCGUCCAGACAUUACAGUUCUGUGUAGCAACGCUGCAAGGACGAGCUGGCCGAAAUUCUUCAAAAACAAAGGAUCGGCUGUGAAGUGAGAAAGUAGGGGGAGGCCUCAAAUGUGGUCUUUUUUGGGGGGGGGGAGUGAGCCAACAGCAAGCAGUGGUGUUCGGGAAGGGUGUCUGGGCAGUCGUAAAGAGUGGUGGAAAGUUUCAUGAAGGAGGUUAAGAUCUUAUAAAAUUGUGUAACAAGGAAAACACAUAAUGAAAGCAUAAUUGGAUCAAUAGUUAAUCAUUAUCUGUUCGUCAUUCACCCGAUCCCCGUGGACGACCUUGAGUCCCUGGCUAGCCGAGGUAAACGACUAACCAAGGACGGUUAUACUUGCAUACACUGUGAAUAAAAUUACAUGCAUUCGGCGAAAAUGACCUCUGUGACGAUGUAUGACGAGUGGAGGUAAAGUUUCACGGCUAGCUUAUUCCUCUAGCA